UAGGGAAUCUUCGGCAAUGGACGAAAGUCUGACCGAGCAACGCCGCGUGAGUGUAGAAGGUUUUCGGAUCGUAAAACUCUGUUGUUAGAGAAGAACAAGGACGUUAGUAACUGAACGUCCCCUGACGGUAUCUAACCAGAAAGCCACGGCUAACUACGUGCCAGCAGCCGCGGUAAUACGUAGGUGGCAAGCGUUGUCCGGAUUUAUUGGGCGUAAAGCGAGCGCAGGCGGUGUCUUAAGUCUGAUGUGAAAGCCCCCGGCUCAACCGGGGAGGGUCAUUGGGGACUGGGGGACUUGAGUGCAGAAGAGGAGAGUGGAAUUCCAUGUGGAGCGGUGAAGUGCGUAGAUAUAUGGGGGAACCCCAGUGGCGAAGGCGGCUCUCUGGUCUGUAACUGACGCUGAGGCUCGAAAGCGUGGGGGGCAAACGGG
rnacentral:rRNA from 1 species